AGCUCCAUAGGCACCGGUGUGGUAGGCGGCGGCGGCGGUUGGUGGCGGUGGAGGUGUGAGAUCCGUAGACCUGUGGAUGAAUUGACGUGGCUGGGAGGUCAUCGCCCCAUCUCGUGUGACGGCUGCGGUGACUUCUCGUGGCUUGCGUCGUCCAGUGCUAUCGUCGCCCAGAGCUUGCUGCUCGUGGUGCUUGAUGACAACCCGUCGGCAUGGUGGCGACGAUUUCACUGGUGCCAGUUCGAGAGCUCCCAAUGCUUAGGGUUUGUUGUUUGGGUUGAGCUCACGCUCCUCAGAUUUAACGACGAACUCCGUGGACACCUCUUGCUGAGUCCGGUGUUGCUUACUCCAAAAUCUAUGGCUCAGCAGCAGACCUCCGUUUUGUGCAGUCUUUGUGGAGUCAACCGGAUGGGGAUUACCGGUUUGUCAAGCGGGCUGCACGCCGAAGGAGGCCCAAGGUUGCAUUCGUCGCGACAUUGCCGCAACUCCCUGUCGAUGUGCACCUUAUCUGCUGUGUGGUUUCAUUAUGAAGUUUGUAGCCUUAGUGCAGGUUUCCAUUCUUUGGAAACGGAUGGUUUUAUGCUCUCUCUUUAUCUAUUUGGCAAUGUACUGGGAUUUAUUCCCGUGAACUCUGUCGGUUUAUAUUAA
rnacentral:lncRNA from 1 species